UACAGAGGUCUCAAGCGUUGUUCGGAUUCAUUGGGCGUAAAGGGUGCGUAGGCGGCGCGGUAAGUCGGGUGUGAAAUUUCGAGGCUUAACUUCGAAACUGCAUUUGAUACUGGCGUGCUUGAGGACUGGAGAGGAGACUGGAAUUCAUGGUGUAGCAGUGAAAUGUGUAGAGAUCAUGAGGAAGACCAGUGGCGAAGGCGGGUCUCUGGACAGUUCCUGACGCUGAGGCACGAAGGUCAGGGGAGCAAAACGGG
rnacentral:rRNA from 1 species